GAGAGAGAAAAUUUCCUCUGCCUUCUCACUAGAACUCAGCCGUGGGAUUUGCGUCUCCGGCCGGCGGGUUUGGCUACCUAGCCACCGUCGGUCGGGUUUGUGUUGUCUUUAGAGUUUUUAUUUUAUUUAGUUUUUUGUUUGUGAGAAGGAAGGAUCUCGGUCUCCUUUUGGUUCCGACUCCGGGAGAUGGAAGCUUCGCAGCUCCGUCGUCGCUGACUUAUGACUCUGGAGAUGGAGGCUUUCAAAGCUCUGUUUGCCGGCUUAAGACUAAAGACGAAAGUAAUUGGGUUAGUUACCGAUCUAUGGGAGGGUUAUGUGUGUUGGAAUGGUGGUUUGAUGGAGCGGAUGAAAUCUCGUCGUUGGACGAUUGAAGCUCUCCGAUGAAUGAUGGUUCUGAUGUGUGUGAAGCCUCUUCUCUGUGUUUGUGGCGUAAGGUAUUGGAUGAGAUCUCGAACUAUCGUUGAUGCUCUCCGAUGUUGAAACACAUGAGAUGGUGGGCUCGUUGUUAGUAAUCCUGUUCCCGGCAGGUUUUCUGGUGGUUGAUGUGGUGCAGACGAGGUUGUUCUCCGACGUUAAACUUUGGUCGGUGAAGUCAUAGAGGGGGUCUCUCUGCGGUUCAACGCGUGUCCGUCACUUCCUCCUCUGUCAUACACGUUUCGUGUGCGUGUCUUUAGUUCUGGGUGGGUUUAAUUGGGCUUCUUUGGGCCUCAUCCUUGUGGGUUUAAGUCUACUCGUUUGUGGGCUUAUGUAUACAUUUCUAGCUUUUGUUUGGGCCUGUUUUGGCUUUGUUCUUGUACUUUUAUCAUGUUUAAUACUCCCUCCGUUUUUUAAUAUAAGUCGUUUUACAGCUAUACACGUAGAUUAAGAAAACCAUUAAUUUUUUAUAUUUUCUAAACAAAAACAUCAUUCACUAUUUACCUAACUACAAUUCAACCAAUAGAAAAAUAUAAGAUAUAUUACCAUUGGUCAUACAACAUUAAUUAUUAAUAAAUUUUACAUAGAAAACCGAAAACGACAUAUAAUUUGGAACAAAAAAGUUUCUCUAAAAUGACUUAUAAUAAAAAACGGAGGGAGUAUUAAUAUAAGAUGACAAAAAAAAAAUAGUUUGUAGGUCUGUUUACAAAAAAAAAAAUAGUUUGUAGGUUAAUAUUUAAUUAAGAAAAAGAAAAAAAAACAAUACUCCCGAGGAGAGUCGUCAUUACUAUUCAAAUUAGUCGAGCCGUGAAACUUAGGGCACUUCGUGUGGGGACAAGAGUGGUUAUGAAAUUGACGAAUGUGAUCGUUAAUGUGACUCCCUUCGUCCACUCGCGUGUUAGUUGAUUCCACACGAAACAUAGACCUGAUCACGCCGGAUGUUCUCUCGACGCAUGUACUACUCUUUGAUUAACAAUCAUCACGCACCUCACUGUUUGGAUAUUUUUCUUUGUUGUGGUAAUUUAGUCGUCGCAUUUAUCGGCUCUCGCGUGUAAAACGAGA
rnacentral:lncRNA from 1 species